UGUGACCUGUGGAUAGGCUGGUUCUGACAGAGAAUCCAGAUGUUAUGAGAAAAUAACCAGACACCAGGAGUUAUUGGCUCUGCUCUUCACUAAACUAGCAAGAGAGAAGGGUAUGAUUUUCAAUGACAUCAAGACUGUAUUUUUCAUCAUUAAGGAGAAGCAUAACACUGAGUCAUAUACAUAAAUGCCACAAAAAUAGAUGAGAUGCUAAGUAGACUGAACUGUCUUUUUGGAGAAUAGCUGGAGUUGGGAUCUCUGUUAGCAUAAGCAUGUGAACCUCUGAAUCACUGUGACUGUCUUCAUGAGCCUGCCAGUAAAAGUUUCCUCACUCUUAAUAAGGCAAAGAAUCAAGACAAGACCUGCCCUUUGUUCCUACUUUGGUUGAUGUUCUGGGAGCAUGUAAUUUUUAAAAUACCUUUAGGGGAAGUGCUCAAGGACAAAAGCCAACUCUGUGAAUAGAAGAAAAUAAAGAGAAAAGAAGCUUGGUUCAUUGAUGAUACCCUCAAGUCACUGAAUUAAUUCUGAACUAACUCCACCUCCAAUCUUGUUAUGGCAAUUACAACUUGCACAUUAUUUUAAUCACUUUUAGUUGAUCUUCAUUCAGUUCUUUGCAGCCAAAGCAUCAUAACUGAUAAAAAUUCCUAUAGUUCCUAAGAGGUAUCUUUCCUAAUACAUCUUUAUUUCCUCUAUGAAGAUUCUCUAAAUUUUGAAUUCUUUAGAAUUCACCUUCCUUUUGUGCCAUUAAAGUUUAUACACAUAAUUAUCAGAUAGCACUGCAAAACGUUGCUGAUAAACCCAAGAAAUCUUUUUUGUGUGCUUGGCACAUAUUAUUCUUUCGCCACUGAAUAUGAACAAAGCAUGAGAAAAUGAAUAACAAUUUCAAUUAAUCAAUUUAUCCAGGAUCCUGUAGUUUCAGGAUUGACCUUCAUAUAAAUGACAAGCAAAUUAUUCUUGUUGAUGAAGACAAAUGAUGGUUCUUUGUGAAUAAAGAUAUUAUUUAAUCAAAACACCAAUGCA